GCGGGUGUGGUUCAGUGGUAGAAUGCGAGCUUCCCAAGCUUGAGAUGUGGGUUCGAUUCCCAUCACCCGCU
rnacentral:tRNA from 1 species